rnacentral:rRNA from 1 species
CCUACGGGGGGCAGCAGUGGGGAAUAUUGGACAAUGGGGGCAACCCUGAUCCAGCCAUGCCGCGUGUGUGAAGAAGGCCCUCGGGUUGUAAAGCACUUUCAGUGAGGAAGAACGCCUGGUGGUUAAUACCCAUCAGGAAAGACAUCACUCACAGAAGAAGCACCGGCUAACUCCGUGCCAGCAGCCGCGGUAAUACGGAGGGUGCGAGCGUUAAUCGGAAUUACUGGGCGUAAAGCGCGCGUAGGUGGCUUGAUAAGCCGGUUGUGAAAGCCCCGGGCUCAACCUGGGAACGGCAUCCGGAACUGUCAAGCUAGAGUGCAGGAGAGGAAGGUAGAAUUCCCGGUGUAGCGGUGAAAUGCGUAGAGAUCGGGAGGAAUACCAGUGGCGAAGGCGGCCUUCUGGACUGACACUGACACUGAGGUGCGAAAGCGUGGGUAGCAAACAGGAUUAGAUACCACUGUAGUC